rnacentral:rRNA from 1 species
UACGGAGGGUGCAAGCGUUAAUCGGAAUUACUGGGCGUAAAGCGUGCGCAGGCGGUUUUGUAAGCCAGAUGUGAAAUCCCCGGGCUUAACCUGGGAAUGGCAUUUGGGACUGCAAGGCUUGAGUGCGGCAGAGGAGACUGGAAUUCCUGGUGUAGCAGUGAAAUGCGUAGAUAUCAGGAGGAAUACCGAUGGCGAAGGCAGGUCUCUGGGCUGACACUGACGCUCAUGCACGAAAGCGUGGGGAGCAAACAGG